CCCGGAGGAAAAGAAAUCAACCGAGAUUCCGCAAGUAGUGGCGAGCGAACGCGGAGGAGCCUGUACGUAAUAACUGUCGAGAUAGAAGAACAAGCUGGGAAGCUUGACCAUAGCGGGUGACAGUCCCGUAUUCGAAAUCUCAACAGCGGUACUAAGCGUACGAAAAGUAGGGCGGGACACGUGAAAUCCUGUCUGAAUAUGGGGGGACCAUCCUCCAAGGCUAAAUACUCAUCAUCGACCGAUAGU
rnacentral:rRNA from 1 species